rnacentral:rRNA from 1 species
AAAGCGGAGGAAAAAGAAACCAACCGGGAUUGCCUUAGUAACGGCGAGUGAAGCGGCAAAAGCUCAAAUUUGAAAUCUGGCGUCUUCGACGUCCGAGUUGUAAUUUGAAGAAGGCAACUUUGUAGCUGGUCCUUGUCUAUGUUCCUUGGAACAGGACGUCAUAGAGGGUGAGAAUCCCGUGUGGCGAGGAUCCCAGUUAUUUGUAAAGUGCUUUCGACGAGUCGAGUUGUUUGGGAAUGCAGCUCUAAGUGGGUGGUAAAUUCCAUCUAAAGCUAAAUAUUGGCGAGAGACCGAUAGCGAACAAGUACAGUGAUGGAAAGAUGAAAAGAACUUUGAAAAGAGAGUGAAAAAGUACGUGAAAUUGUUGAAAGGGAAGGGCAUUUGAUCAGACAUGGCGUUUGCUUCGGCUUUCGCUGGGCCAGCAUCAGUUUUAGCGGUUGGAUAAAUCCUCGGGAAUGUGG